GCUGGCGGGCGGGCCAUUACCAUUAUGCCAUUAUUUGUCGGAUUUCCCCUCUCCGUAAAUAUUACUUUGAAAAAGUGCGCAUUUAGCAUUUAUUGCAUUGCAAAAACAGCACAAAAUUAGUGAGUGCAACUGAGUAUGUUUUCAUCUUAAAAACAUGGCCACAUGUGAAAUAAUCACAGAAUAGAGAAAUAAUUUUGCAAUUGUAGCCUAGUCGUCUCGCGUUUUUUUCCCUGCCCCUGGCUUUCGGUAGAACUUUUACGUAAAUGCGAGAGAAACUGGCAGUUUUGCAAUUGGUAUGAAAUUUCGUAUCUUAACUAAAACUUUUGGUUUGGGAACGUUUCUAAUUGCAUGUCUUUCUUUCAAAUAUAAUUUUGAAGACAUCACAAAAUUUGUAAUAAUGGUCAAAAAUGGCAAUAGUGGCAAUAAUGGCGAACAAGACAAUUUUCUUAAAAAGCAUGCGGGCGGGGAUGAGAAACUAAUAUACAACAAAUAGUGGCCUUA
rnacentral:lncRNA from 1 species